ACACAUGCAAGUCGAGGGGCAGCAUGAUUGAAGCUUGCUUCAAUUGAUGGCGACCGGCGCACGGGUGAGUAACGCGUAUCCAACCUUCCGUACACUCAGGGAUAGCCUUUCGAAAGAAAGAUUAAUACCCGAUGGUAUGAUGAGAUUGCAUGAUAGCAUCAUUAAAGAUUUAUCGGUGUACGAUGGGGAUGCGUUCCAUUAGGUAGUAGGCGGGGUAACGGCCCACCUAGCCGACGAUGGAUAGGGGUUCUGAGAGGAAAGUCCCCCACAUUGGAACUGAGACACGGUCCAAACUCCUACGGGAGGCAGCAGUGAGGAAUAUUGGUCAAUGGACGAGAGUCUGAACCAGCCAAGUAGCGUGAAGGAUGAAGGUCCUACGGAUUGUAAACUUCUUUUAUAAGGGAAUAAAACCUCCCACGUGUGGGAGCUUGUAUGUACCUUAUGAAUAAGCAUCGGCUAACUCCGUGCCAGCAGCCGCGGUAAUACGGAGGAUGCGAGCGUUAUCCGGAUUUAUUGGGUUUAAAGGGAGCGCAGACGGGUCGUUAAGUCAGCUGUGAAAGUUUGGGGCUCAACCUUAAAAUUGCAGUUGAUACUGGCGUCCUUGAGUGCGGUUGAGGUGUGCGGAAUUCGUGGUGUAGCGGUGAAAUGCUUAGAUAUCACGAAGAACUCCGAUUGCGAAGGCAGCACACUAAGCCGUAACUGACGUUCAUGCUCGAAAGUGUGGGUAUCAAACAGGAUUAGAUACCCUGGUAGUCCACACGGUAAACGAUGGAUACUCGCUGUUGGCGAUAUACAGUCAGCGGCUUAGCGAAAGCGUUAAGUAUCCCACCUGGGGAGUACGCCGGCAACGGUGAAACUCAAAGGAAUUGACGGGGG
rnacentral:rRNA from 1 species